rnacentral:lncRNA from 1 species
AUAUUUCUGAUUAACGGUUGGAUAUAAUUCUUGUCUCAGUAACAUCAAAUUCAUGGGUUGCUCGUAGGCUUUAAUUGGUGACAUGAUGUAGUUGAUUUAUUUUGAGUUAAGAGUAAAAAUCAUUGAUAACUCAAAAUUGUUACCAAUCAUGCAUAAAAUUUAGUUUUUUUUUUUAUUUUUAAUUUGAUUUAACAUGUGUUAU